GCGGUUGUGAGAGCUUCCAGGGUCAGAACACAAAGCCAGUGUAUACACGUGGGGUGGAGUAUCAGGUGAAGCAUGUAGCAUGCUUUGUCCUUAUAAACUGCUGACUGUCAAGGUGUCACAAGAACGUAGGCUCGCUUUGGGCGUUGGGUGAGAGAGAGUAAGUUUGGAAGUCAAGGAGAGUCCAGUGAAUCCGGAACAUAUCAUUUUAUGAAAUUUACCCCUUAGUUCUAUGGGGUAGGGGGCUCUUUCUCUCCUUAGGACCUCGCAUUCCUUAUGCUAUGACACUUACUGGAUGAAUGUAUGGAUGAAAUAGUUUAUGGAAUUUGGAAGUAUUAUAGGGAGCAUAUCCUUGGCAGACAAUUGAGAGAGAUUUGUAAUGAGGAACUGAGCAGUUUACCUCAUAAAAUAAUGACACCUAAAACAUUGUGACAGGUAGGGUGUUCUUAACAGUUUUACUCAUCCAGAGGGUUCACUUUGAGCUGAGAUGGUGUAAAACGUGGGAGGGGUGCAGGGCAGCCCUGUUCCAGCCUGUCUCCAGGACACAAGGAGGUGGCUCUCCCACAAGAGAAGGCCUGGGAAUGCAGGAGGCUGUGUUGCAUCAGCAAGUAAUGCAGAUUUUAAUAGGGCAUCUUAAAGACUGGACACCCGACUGGUCGAAAUGUGCAGUUUGGCUGGGAUCUGGAUGGGACAGGUAAUCUUGCAGGUGAAACAAACACCGGGACACCCCUGGAGCAGGACCCACACUCACUGGGACCAGACCAGACCCCAGUAACUUUACUACAAGAUGACGGGGGCACUGAGUCCCAAAGCAAGGAAAGACAUGACUUAGAGUGAGAAUCCCUUUGUCUCCCCUCAUGCCAGAGCGGUUCAGCCCCCACCACUGGGACCUACCCUCCCAACUGAGUCCCAACCACCUGAAGGUG